rnacentral:lncRNA from 1 species
CGAAAACACAGAAACAAACCUUGUAAUGUUGAUGAGUAAUACAUCCUGAGACUGGGCAUUAUGUUCCAAGUCACGACUGUGAAUAUUUUACUCAAACAACAGAAAUUUCUCCCUCUCUCUCUUGCCGUCUUCCUUGUUCUUUCCAUCCUCUGAAGGUGCCAUCACCGUCACCGUCAUCACCCAGAAAUCUUCCUCUAGAGGGCAGACUGCAGCGUAGCGGCAGUGUCCAGGAGAUUCUCUCUUCUUCCAAGAGCAAACUCUUUAGACAGACCAGCUUUCAACAGCAGAAGGAAUUGGAGCAGGAGCUGAGUGAGCAGAGAGGCCUGACCAAGGCUAUCGCCCAGCAGGGGAGUAGAGGUCGUCUCCACAGCCAGGCCCAAAAGGAUCAACCUGAGCCAUCCACACGAGUUCCUGUUGAACCUGAAGGAGGGGGGGAGGCAGGGGUCCAAAGGAAGUGGACACACCUUCACAACCAGAUUCUGGCCUUGGAGCAGACUGCACAGCAAGGUCCUUCUGAUGUAAGCAGCUCCCACUCUUAA